GAUGAACGCUGGCGGCGUGCCUAAUACAUGCAAGUCGAGCGAAUGGAUUAAGAGCUUGCUCUUAUGAAGUUAGCGGCGGACGGGUGAGUAACACGUGGGUAACCUGCCCAUAAGACUGGGAUAACUCCGGGAAACCGGGGCUAAUACCGGAUAACAUUUUGAACCGCAUGGUUCGAAAUUGAAAGGCGGCUUCGGCUGUCACUUAUGGAUGGACCCGCGUCGCAUUAGCUAGUUGGUGGGGUAACGGCUCACCAAGGCAACGAUGCGUAGCCGACCUGGGAGGGUGAUCGGCCACGCUGGGACUGCGACACGGCCCAGACUCCUACGGGGGGCAGCAGUAGGGAAUCUUCCGCAAUGGACGAAAGUCUGACGGAGCAACGCCGCGUGAGUGAUGAAGGCUUUCGGGUCGUAAAACUCUGUUGUUAGGGAAGAACAAGUGCUAGUUGAAUAAGCUGGCACCUUGACGGUACCUAACCAGAAAGCCACGGCUAACUACGUGCCAGCAGCCGCGGUAA
rnacentral:rRNA from 1 species